rnacentral:tRNA from 1 species
GCCAGUGUAGCUCAGUGGCAGAGCGCGGGUUUCAUAAGCCUAAGGUCGGCGGUUCGAUCCCGCCCACUGGCACCA